AUACGGAAGGUCCGGGCGUUAUCCGGAUUUAUUGGGUUUAAAGGGAGCGCAGGCGGAGAUGCAAGCGUGACGUCAAAUUUCGGGGCUCAACCCCGUCUCGCGUCGCGAACUGCGUCCCUUGGUUGCGGGAAGGGGAGGCGGAACUCGUGGUGGAGCGGUGGAAUGCAUAGAUAUCACGAAGAACUCCGAUCGCGAAGGCAGCCUUCCGGCCCGUCAACGACGCUCAUGCUCGAAGGUGCGGGUAUCAAACAGGAUUAGAUACCCUGGUAGUCCGCACAGUAAACGAUGGACACCCGCGGUUUGGCCUAUAUGGCUGAGCCGCCAAGCGAAAGCGUUAAGUGUCCCACCUGGGGAGUACGCCGGCAACGGUGAAACUUAAAGGAAUUGACGGGG
rnacentral:rRNA from 1 species